rnacentral:rRNA from 1 species
GGCCUAACACAUGCAAGUCGAACGAUGAAGCCUUUCGGGGUGAAUUAGUGGCGAACGGGUGAGUAACACGUGGGCAAUCUGCCCUUCACUCUGGGACAAGCCCUGGAAACGGGGUCUAAUACCGGAUAACACUCUGGCCCGCAUGGGACGGGGUUGAAAGCUCCGGCGGUGAAGGAUGAGCCCGCGGCCUAUCAGCUUGUUGGUGAGGUAAUGGCCCACCAAGGCGACGACGGGUAGCCGACCCGAGAGGGUGACCGGCCACACUGGGACUGAGACACGGCCCAGACUCCUACGGGAGGCAGCAGUGGGGAAUAUUGCACAAUGGGCGAAAGCCUGAUGCAGCGACGCCGCGUGAGGGAUGACGGCCUUCGGGUUGUAAACCUCUUUCAGCAGGGACGAAGCGCAAGUGACGGUACCUGCAGAAGAAGCACCGGCUAACUACGUGCCAGCAGCCGCGGUAAUACGUAGGGUGCAAGCGUUGUCCGGAAUUACUGGGCGUAAAGAGUUCGUAGGCGGUUUGUCGCGUCGGUUGUGAAAACCCGGAGGCUCAACUGCUGGCUUGCAGGCGAUACGGGCAGACUUGAGUGCUGCAGGGGAGACUGGAAUUCCUGGUGUAGCGGUGAAAUGCGCAGAUAUCAGGAGGAACACCGGUGGCGAAGGCGGAUCUCUGGGCAGUAACUGACGCUGAGGAACGAAAGCGUGGGUAGCGAACAGGAUUAGAUACCCUGGUAGUCCACGCCGUAAACGGUGGGCGCUAGGUGUGGGUUCCUUCCACGGAAUCC